CCUCUUUCCUCUAUCUUCUGCUCGCUUGCGUACUCGUUCACACGCAUGUAACAUUCACAGAUGACAGCAGCACUUACGCAAAAUCACCUGGGAAUACAUGGCGUUGUGGUGGCUCUCUCCUUCACAGUCUGUCAAUGACUACAAAUGAGACCCUGGAUAAACACAUAUCUGUAUCAUGAUCCAGCUACGACUAUACUGGACAGACAGACAGUGAGGCAGACAGACAGACAGUGAGGCAGACAGACAAACAGUGAGGAAGACAGACAGACAGACUAUAUGGUAUCUCUAUAAGAUGGAAAUAAUGACUUACACGGGCAAACAGUGUUAUGGAUAAUAGUACUGGUGUCUUUGGAAUAAGCACAAAGUCAAUGAAAGUGCAUUUUUAUCUUAGACAUUUCUUUUUUGUUUUCCAUAAUAGGCUUGAAUAAAUGGAAUUCAUGGUAAUGUUUUCCUCAUGGGCAGUGACUAAAUGUUUAUACCACUGAGGAAAAUGACUUUCUUUUGUUUUCAUUAUGCUCAUCAACAACAGACUUCCAUCCAGUUGGAAUAUGCAUUAUGGAGGGGAACCAAGAAGACGUCAUGUCGCAAGGUGAAUGAACCACAAGGCAAAGAGACUGAAGAUAAAUGUACAAGGCCCGUAACAUGGAGGCACUUCAAUGAUGGGGCACUGAAAUGUGACUUUGGCUCAUAGCACCUUGUAGCAUGUAUAGCAUGUAU
rnacentral:lncRNA from 13 species